UACGAAGGGGGCUAGCGUUGUUCGGAAUCACUGGGCGUAAAGCGCACGUAGGCGGAUCUUUAAGUCAGGGGUGAAAUCCCGAGGCUCAACCUCGGAACUGCCUUUGAUACUGGGGAUCUCGAGUCCGGGAGAGGUGAGUGGAACUGCGAGUGUAGAGGUGAAAUUCGUAGAUAUUCGCAAAGAACACCAGUGGCGAAGGCGGCUCACUGGCCCGGAACUGACGCUGAGGUGCGAAAGCGUGGGGAGCAAACAGG
rnacentral:rRNA from 1 species